rnacentral:ncRNA from 2 species
ACCACAUAUCGCGGGGGCUCUCACGACACCGAGGGCUGAGAUGGCGGAGGGCGGCCGCCGACCGCCUGAACCUGUCCGGGUAAUGCCGGCGUAGGGAGCCUCUCAUGGACACAC